AUUGAACGCUGGCGGCAUGCCUAACACAUGCAAGUCGAACGGCAGCACGGGAGCUUGCUCCUGGUGGCGAGUGGCGGACGGGUGAGUAAUGCAUAGGAAUCUGCCCAGUAGCGGGGGACAACUUGGGGGAAACUCAAGCUAAUACCGCAUACGCCCUACGGGGGAAAGCGGGGGACCUUCGGGCCUGGCGCUAGUAGAUGAGCCCGCGUGAGAUUAGCUUGUUGGUGGGGUAAUGGCCUACCAAGGCAACGAUCUCUAGCUGGUCUGAGAGGACGAUCAGCCACACUGGGACUGAGACACGGCCCAGACUCCUACGGGAGGCAGCAGUGGGGAAUAUUGGACAAUGGCGAAAGCCUGAUCCAGCAAUGCCGCGUGUGUGAAGAAGGCCUGAGGGUUUGUAAAGGCACUUUUCAAUCGUGAAGAAAAGUUGCAGGCUAAUACCCUGUGACCUUGACGUUAACGAUAC
rnacentral:rRNA from 1 species